rnacentral:rRNA from 1 species
UACGUAGGGCGCAAGCGUUGUCCGGAAUUAUUGGGCGUAAAGAGCUCGUAGGUGGCUUGUCACGUCGGGUGUGGAAAGCUUGGGGCUUGAACUCCAGGUCUGCAUUCGAUACGGGCUGGCUAGAGGUAGGUAGGGGAGAACGGAAUUCCUGGUGUAGCGGUGAAAUGCGUAGAUAUCAAGAGGAACACCUGAGGUGAAGACGGGUUGCUGGGCCGACACUGACGCUGACAGCGCGAAAGCCAGGGGAGCAAACGGG